AUUGAACGCUGGCGGCAGGCUUAACACAUGCAAGUCGAGCGGGGAAAAGUAGCUUGCUACUGGACCUAGCGGCGGACGGGUGAGUAAUGCUUAGGAAUCUGCCUAUUAGUGGGGGACAACAUCUCGAAAGGGAUGCUAAUACCGCAUACGUCCUACGGGAGAAAGCAGGGGACCUUCGGGCCUUGCGCUAAUAGAUGAGCCUAAGUCGGAUUAGCUAGUUGGUGGGGUAAAGGCCUACCAAGGCGACGAUCUGUAGCGGGUCUGAGAGGAUGAUCCGCCACACUGGGGCGGAGAAACGGCCCAGACUCCUACGGGAGGCAGCAGUGGGGAAUAUGGGACAAUGGGGGGAACCCUGAUCCAGCCAUGCCGCGUGUGUGAAGAAGGCCUUUUGGUUGUAAAGCACUUUAAGCGAGGAGGAGGCUACCGAGAUUAAUACUCUUGGAUAGUGGACGUUACUCGCAGAAUAAGCACCGGCUAACUCUGUGCCAGCCGCCGCCGUAACAC
rnacentral:rRNA from 1 species